rnacentral:rRNA from 1 species
CUGACCGUAAACUAUGCCAACUAGCGAUCCGCCGGUGGAUUUUUAGCCCUGGUGGGAAGCUUCCCGGAAACGAAAGUCUUCCGGUUCCGGGGGAAGUAUGGUUGCAAAGCUGAAACUUAAAGGAAUUGACGGAAGGGCACCACCAGGAGUGGAGCCUGCGGCUUAAUUUGACUCAACACGGGGAAACUCACCCGGCCCGGACACCGUAAGGAUUGACAGAUUGAUAGCUCUUUCAUGAUUCGGUGGUUGGUGGUGCAUGGCCGUUCUUAGUUCGUGGAUCGAUUUGUCUGGUUUAUUCCGAUAACGAGCGAGACUCUAGCCUACUAAAUAGUAACGGAAUUACUAUUGUUCCAGUUGCUUCUUAGAGGGAUUUUCGGUGUUUAGCCGCACGAGAUUGAGCAAUAACAGGUCUGUGAUGCCCUUAGAUGUCCGGGGCUGCACGCGCGCUACACUGGCGAAAUCAGCGUGCUGUAUCCAAUCUCGAAAGGGAUGGGUAAACCCAUGAAAAUUUGCCGUGCUUGGGAUCGGAAAUUGCAAUUAUUUUCCGUGAACGAGGAAUUCCAAGUAAGUGCGAGUCAUCAACUCGCUCUG